rnacentral:rRNA from 1 species
AACGCUGGCGGCGCGCUUAACACAUGCAAGUCGAACGAGAAAGGGAGCAAUCCUGAGUAAAGUGGCGUACUGGUGAGUAACACGUGGAUAUCUACCUCUUGGUGGGGAAUAACCUGGGGAAACCUGGGCUAAUACCGCAUAAGUUCGUGAGAAGAAAGGCGCAAGUCGCCGAGAGAGGAGUCCGCGGUCGAUUAGGUAGUUGGCGGGGUAAGAGCCCACCAAGCCAAAGAUCGAUAGCCGGCCUGAGAGGGCACACGGCCACACUGGCACUGAAACACGGGCCAGACUCCUACGGGAGGCAGCAGUGGGGAAUCUUGCACAAUGGGGGAAACCCUGAUGCAGCGACGCCGCGUGAGCGAUGAAGCCCUUCGGGGUGUAAAGCUCUUUCGGCAGGAACGAUAAUGACGGUACCUGCAGAAGAACG